CGCGAAUGGCUCAUUACAACAGCCAUAGUUUAUUGGAUGUUUACGUUCCUACAAGGACACCUGCGGUAAUUCUGGAGCUAAUACUUGCGAAAUGCGACAACCUCACGGGAGUCGUGCAUUUAUUAGAUUAAACCAAUCGGUCCUUCGGGACCGCCAUUUGGUGAACUCUGAAUAACUUAGCUGAUCGCACAGUCUCGUACUGGCGACAAAUCUUUCAAGUGUCUGCCUUAUCAACUUUCGAUGGUAGUUUAUACGACUACCAUGGUUGUAACGGGUAACGGAGAAUAAGGGUUCGACUCCGGAGAGGGAACCUGAGAAACGGCUACCACAUCCAAGGAAGGCAGCAGGCGCGCAAAUUACCCACUCGCAGAACGCGGAGGUAGUGACGAAAAAUAACGAGGUGGCUCUCUAUGAGGUCCAUCAUCGGAAUGGGUACAAUUUAAAUCCUUUAACGAGGAUCUAUUGGAGGGCAAGUCUGGUGCCAGCAGCCGCGGUAAUUCCAGCU
rnacentral:rRNA from 1 species